GAAAAUGAGUCCACGGGAGCACUGCAACGACCGCAGAAUUUUUGCAAGAACAAUUCAUUUUAGGAUGAACUAUCGAUACAAAUAUUUUAAUUUGAUUGAAGGCAAUGGCGUGCACCACGAAAGGAGAUUUGGUCAUAUUGAUAGGGUAUCCAUCCAAACAUGUUGGGUGUUAAAAGUUUCAACGUAUAGUCCGAAGCAACCCUUUCCACAGUAGUCACCAUGACAGGUGACCACCUGGUGGCGCCCGUGUGCCAAGGGCCGUUGGACGAUCAGGAGAAGAAGAUUUGAAUUGACGGAUGUGACGUCAGGUCUUUAGGUAAAUUGAAGACAGGUGUGCUCAAGGGGAGUUAUCAAAUGCAUGUGCCACCGAGCGCGUGGCGGCGGGCGGUUUCUCAGGAUUUUCACGCUCAGUUCUCAAAUGCAGGUGCCACCGAGUGCGUGGCAUUUUCUCAGGAUUUUCACACUCGCCACGGCGACUGCAGUCGUCGAAGUUACCUGGAGGCUGCAGGGAGAGUUUUCAAAUACGCCCCAAAAUGUGUGGUUUGUUGCCUUUUCUCACAAGCCUUUUUUAUUUUGUUUGUUUGUUGCAGGACUGUCGUACUCUCGUGACUCGGACACGCAACAAACAUUUGCGUGGGUUAUUUUCUCCCGUUUUGGACGCCGCUAACCUGGAUCAUCUGUCCAAUGUGAGCACUAAAAAAGGCCGCCCAGCCAGCAUCCUUGUAUACUAAGCAAGCAGGAGGCUCUUGAGGAGCCAUUUCGGUGAUGUUGAGGACACUGAGGAAGAGUAGUCCUAAAUCAGGCUGCAAGAGAAGCCGAAUGGGAUGAGGAUAAGUAUCAUUCCAUAUCCAAAGGAGCAAUGGCCUAUCCAAAGGGGCAAUGCCAUUUCAAAAGGGGCAAUGCCAUUUCAAAAGGGGCAAUGCCAUUUCAAAAGGGGCAAUGCCAUUUCAAAAGGGGCAAUGCCAUUUCAAAAGGGGCAAUGCCAUUUCAAAAGGGGCAAUGCCAUUUCAAAAGGGGCAAUGCCAUUUCAAAAGGGGCAAUGCCAUUUCAAAAGGAGCAAUGCCAUUUCAAAAGGAGCAAUGGCCUAAAAAAAGCAAUGGCCUAAAAGGAGCAAUGCCAUAUCCAAAGGAGCAAUGCCAUAUCCAAAGGAGCAAUGCCAUAUCCAAAGGAGCAAUGCCAUAUCCAAAGGAGCAAUGCCAUCUCCAAAGGAGCAAUGCCAUCUCCAAAGGAGCAAUGCCAUCUCCAAAGGAACAAUGCCAUCUCCAAAGGAGCAAUGCCACCAAGUCAAGAAUCAAGCAGGGCGCUGCAAAAGUCCACGUGUGCGGAUCAUGUGCCCAGGAGGGGGCAGUGUGGUUGCCUUUGGUUAUGGGUGUACGACGGAAAGGUUGCAGGUGUAGGCAAUGUUUGGGGGUCUGAUGGUUGGUCUUGCUUAAGAGGUGUGCUGGGGUUGUGGCUUGUCUGGAUCCAGCGUUGUCUUGUGCUUGGUUGCCAUUGACGGCUCACUUGGGGGAGCACGUGGUUACGUGGAUGGACACGAAAUGAAACUUUGACGUGGAUCCGAAUGUCGAAUUUUGCCCCAUGACUUGUACCAUUUUGUCUUUUUCUAAUCUGCUACUGUCGUACUUGCUGCGUUCUUUGUUCUCCCCCCUCGGUGUGGAGCGAGCCAAUCCCGAAUGUCCAAUUUUGCAAUUUGACUUGACAUUUUGUCUUUUUCUAAACUACCACUGUUGACCUUCAUCUAACCCUAACCUACCACCACUGUGGUACUUGCGUUCUUUGUUCUCCCCUAGGUGUUGGAGCGAGCGAGACAGUCACAUUUUGUGUCUUUUUCUAACCUACCACUGUCGUGCUUGAUGUAAGCCUAACGUACCACUGUGCGUCCUUUGUUCUCUAGGUGUAGGGGCGAGCCGGUCCUUGAGGAAGACAUAAUGAUGCGAGCAGCACCCAACUCAUUGCAUGUUCUGCUUUUUGCAGGCCAAACGCAAAAGGGGGGGUACACGGCCCGAUCCAACCCGGCGACGGUCACCAAGAGUAGCUAGCCGCUGUGACCAAGUGGCGACCGGGAUGCGACACAAUCUGAUCAGAGGUGGACGGACCGCUGUGGCAUCGCUCUGAAGUAGCAGAGUUCUGAGCUGGAGGCGUCAACCUGCGCAGCUUCAACAUGUGAAAUGGAUUUUUUUUUUAGUUAAUUGAUGCCAGCGGUGUCCAAAUGUCUGUUUGAGGGCUGCAUACUGAAGCAAAUUAAGAAUCCUUUGAUACAAAUUCAUUAAAUCAAUCAUGAAAUGUUGCCAUUCAAAUUUUGUGCUACUGCUACAAAGCGGUGUUCAUUCAUGUGGUGUGUUGAUAAAGUUGCCCCGUGGCUGCCAUUUGGACACCAAUGGUGACGUGUGUAGGGCUGCACGUGUAUUGGAAAACUGCCACAUGGUGGUCUAGGUUAUUGACAUGCACUUUCAGAAAACAAACAUUUUUUUUAAUGUGGCAAAUGAAACCUGUUUUCUUGCCUAACUAUUUGUAAUGAGUUUAGAAGAUGACAAAUCAUUGAUGCAAGUUAAAAUUAACUACUCGAACUGAUCUCAUUGUGAUCAAAUAGUUCCCCUCCAUCCCAGAAUUUUGCACAACUUUGCUCAAUGCAACGGUCUGGCCCAAUAUGCCAUAUCACUGAUUUUCCAACAUGUCGUGCAGCCCUGAUUGAGUGCCAAACGCGCGGCGACGGCAAGCGACCGCGCAAGCGACCGCGCAAGCGACCGCGCAAGC